UACGUAGGUGGCAAGCGUUGUCCGGAAUUAUUGGGCGUAAAGCGCGCGCAGGCGGUCCUUUAAGUCUGAUGUGAAAGCCCACGGCUCAACCGUGGAGGGUCAUUGGAAACUGGGGGACUUGAGUGCAGAAGAGGAAAGCGGAAUUCCACGUGUAGCGGUGAAAUGCGUAGAGAUGUGGAGGAACACCGGUGGCGAAGGCGGGAUCCUGGGCCAGUACUGACGCUGAGGAGCGAAAGCGUGGGGAGCAAACAGG
rnacentral:rRNA from 1 species